rnacentral:snoRNA from 1 species
GGAUCGAUGAUGACACCCACAAACGCAUUCCUUGGAAAAUCUGAACAAAAUGAGUGAGAACUCACUACCGUCUCUCAUCGCAAACUGAGGUCC